rnacentral:lncRNA from 1 species
UUUUUCUUCCUUUGACCCUUCAGGUAUUGGUUUUUGGCAGGAGCAUUUCCCCCACAACAUAUCGUAGGUGACUGAAGAAAAUGUCUAAGUUUUGAAAUUCCAAGAGACCUGGAGAACAUGGACUUUCCUGGAGAUGUGGCUACCUGAAAAAGAAACGGCUAAAAGGUGCAGGAGAGAUGACUCAAGGGACAGAGAGAUCUGAAAUUGUUACAUUAAACAAGUUUCCCAGGCAAAGCAAGAAAUAGCCUGGAGUCUGCUCCUGGUUACAACUUUAAUCAUUACAUACAAGCUGACUGCAAAUGAUGAACAAAAUACUUUAAUCUGGACUUCAUCACGUUAUGUUUGCAACUUUGGAGUUCUGAAUUUGUAAUAAGAGCGUGAAAGGUUUACCUGCAAUGCCAGUCUCAUUGAAUUCCAGUAAAUCCAAGAAAGAAUGUGUGGCUUCAUGGAAUGGAGCAAAGAGAUGGAGGACCUGGUGCCCCAACACUACAGGCACAACAGCGUGGACAUGGAUCCUCUCUGCAGAGCCCUGUAUUCAGCCAAAAUGCCUAGGACAGUGGGAAGUGCAGGAAUGUUCUUGUGCCUGUUUACUUGUGACAAGAUCAUCAAGUUUCUCAGCUCAGAGGGGACACUGA